CAGAUACUCCCUCCGUCCGAAAAUACUUGUCAUCAAAAUGGACAAAAAGGGAUGUAUUUAGAACUAAAAUACAUCUAAAUACAUCCCCUUUUAUUCAUUUUGAUGACAAAUAUUUCCGGAUGGAGGGAGUACUAG
rnacentral:pre_miRNA from 1 species